CCUGUAUAAGGUAAUGCAAAAGAUUGCUGUUAUAUAAGUUUGGUCAAUACAAAUAGUAAGUUGGAAAUUUAAUGGUAUUUCUUCUCUUUUCUUUACAGUGAUUUUGUCUUCUCACAAUGAAUGACUACUUGUGUUAUGACAAUGUAGAUAAAAGUACUCAUAAUGAAUGAGGUCACAAGAGGAAAUUCAGAGUGGAAGAUGUACACAUUUAAAGCCCCAGGAAGAAUUCCAGAAGAUCAGAAGAGUACCUGGGGUCCAAAUAAAUGAUGUGACCUGCCAAGGUCAUGUGGUAGUGAUUCAAGAUGAGAACUCGGGUCAAGAGACUGCAGAAACAAGGAAACAUCGAACUCAUUUGGUUCUCCCCUGAUACUUUUCUCCUGAAACAUAUAUAUUUUGUGAAGAGUUUUUAAAGUUUCCUCAUAUAAUAUGCCACCCCCACCCCAUUUUUUCUCCUUUGAAAAUGUAAAAGGCUCCUUUAAAUAGAACCUGCUUUGUCAACUCUAAGAUAGACAAAGGAUUAAAUUAAAGAAACAGCCAGCUGCUUUUCAAUAGUUAUGAGUGGGGAAGAAAUGAGCUAGAAAUAUAUUCCUACUUUAGGCACGCUUAGCUGCUCUUAGGUUCCUCCUUCAUUAUUUUAUUGUCGUCUUCUCUUGGGCUAGGGCACCACAUUAUCAAACCCCAUCCAUGAUCUUCAAAUCUGAAGAAGGCAGCAGUGAACAGAGUGCACUCUAUUUAAGACCCUACACAUUUUUCACCUCCCACUUUCUUCCAAACACAGACAUACAACCUCAUAGUUUCAUUUGCAGCCUUUUGGCUUUGCCUUUCAAUUUUGGGAUGUGACCCUUUCCAACUUCCUAUUGACGGAAGCAUAAAAAUGCGCAAACAUGAGACAAGCGAAAGCUAAGGAUUGCCAACUCUCUACAGAGGUUUUCCUGGAAGGAAAUAAUUCCCUGUCACAAUCCACAUGGAUCAGAAUAAGAUAUCAACUCAC
ensembl:lincRNA